rnacentral:rRNA from 1 species
GACGAACGCUGGCGGCGUGCUUAACACAUGCAAGUCGAACGCUGAAGCUCAGCUUUUGUUGGGUGGAUGAGUGGCGAACGGGUGAGUAACACGUGAGUAACCUGCCUCCUUCUUUGGGAUAACGCCCGGAAACGGGUGCUAAUACUGGAUAUUCACUGGUCUUCGCAUGGGGGUUGGUGGAAAGGGUUUUUCUGGUGGGGGAUGGGCUCGCGGCCUAUCAGCUUGUUGGUGGGGUGAUGGCCUACCAAGGCUUUGACGGGUAGCCGGCCUGAGAGGGUGACCGGUCACAUUGGGACUGAGAUACGGCCCAGACUCCUACGGGAGGCCGCAGUGGGGAAUAUUGCACAAUGGGCGCAAGCCUGAUGCAGCGACGCCGCGUGAGGGAUGGAGGCCUUCGGGUUGUGAACCUCUUUCGCUCAUGGUCAAGCCGCAACAAUGGUUGUGGUGAGGGUAGUGGGUAAAGAAGCGCCGGCUAACUACGUG